UCUGCGCACUCCAACGUAUUUACGAGACUCAAGACUCAAGACUCAAGACUCGCCCAAUAACCCUGAUUUCAAAAACGUGAAAGUCAAGUUACUCAAAUUCCAACUUCGCUCACACUCCGCUGUGGUUUGUAAGCGCCUUCUUCCGGCACACCAUUUGCACCCUUCAAUUUUUUCGUCAUCGUUUCAGUCUCCAAAACAGAAUGUUGUGAAACAAGAAACAAGGUUUUAGAGAAAUUGGAGAUGAAGGGAGCAAGGAAUAUCAGAUUCAGGCCCUUCAAUAGCUGAAUGGAUCAAUUUAGCAAAACGAGUCAUAGCUGUUGAUUGAGCUGAUCCAAAUAAGAUAUUUAGUAGUGAUACUAAUGAUACUUAUGCAUCAGAGAAAGAAUACCUGUCACCAAAUUCUCCAGCACACGUCUUAUUGGAAGCAUUCUUGGAAUCACACAAUUCUAGGCUAAAUCCAAUGGUAAUCAGCAUGUGUUCAUCAACUUUAAGUGGCACCGGAACCCAGUGUGGGGCCCCCACCUUGCUCGUCACGUUGGUGUAGAAUUUAAAAGCCGUGUCUGUGUCGUUGAAGGGUGGUAGAAUUGGCAUUAGGGGCUCUGAUGAUGGUAGCGCAUUGUCGUAAAUAACUGUGCCACGAGCUAUGUUGGUGUCGAAGUCAGGGAGAUUAACAACGUAAGGAGAGGCUACCAUGUAGUACGAACCAUUGGGUUGGUUCGCUGUGAAUAACACGUCAGCACUCUGGCCAGGGGCAAUAACGAUGAUGUCGGUGUCGUAGCGUUCGGUGUAUGAGGCAUCG